rnacentral:rRNA from 1 species
UACGUAGGGGGCAAGCGUUAUCCGGAUUCACUGGGUGUAAAGGGAGCGUAGACGGCCAUGCAAGCCUGGAGUGAAAGCCCGGGGCCCAACCCCGGGACUGCUCUGGGAACUGUGCGGCUGAAGUGCGGGAGGGGCAGGCGGAAUUCCUGGUGUAGCGGUGAAAUGCGUAGAUAUCAGGAGGAACACCGGCGGCGAAGGCGGCCUGCUGGACCGCGACUGACGUUGAGGCUCGAAAGCGUGGGGAGCAAACAGG